UUUAAAUUUUAAUGGGUAGCUAGUAGACAGUAACACUCUGGAAGGGCUCAAACCACAUAACCAAAUGUGCCAAGAUAAUCCUGAGAUCGCUCAUGUCAGUCCUGAAGAUUUUCCUCAGAGAAUUUUUCAUCUCUUUGUUCCUGAGACUAUAUAUUAGAGGAUUGCAGAGAGGUGUUAUCACAGAAUAGAAAAAGUGGAUUUUUAUCUGAGAUCUACAACUUAUGAAGAAUAUAAGUGAUAUAUAUAUAAGUGAUUAUAUGUGUAAUAUAUAUAAGUGAUAUAUAUUCUUUUCUACUCUUCAUGUAUGGAAUAAAAGGGCUUGCACAGUAGGCAGAAGAAAUGAAGAUAGCAAACAACACAGUAGUGACAGAAUUU
rnacentral:sRNA from 1 species